GAAAUGCGAUAAGUAAUGUGAAUUGCAGAAUUCAGCGAAUCAUCGAAUCUUUGAACGCACAUUGCGCCUCCGGGUAUUCCUGGAGGCAUGCUUGUUCGAGCGUCGUUAAAGACCAUAAGGCUUUGCCUUGCGAUGAGCUGUCGAAAAGACUCCCUUUGGGGGAUCUAUCGACAGCUUCAAACUGAUUGGCGUCUGAAGUUUAGCCCAAGCACAGCAAAAUGUGUCUGAAAGUUGAACGACAAAAGACUUUGCCUUGUACACCAAAUCAUUUAAAGGUCGACCUCGGAUCAAGCAAGAUUACCCGCUGAACUUAA
rnacentral:misc_RNA from 1 species